rnacentral:lncRNA from 1 species
AAAAACUGUUCUUACAGCACGUCCUAUUUUAAGUCCGCAAGAUUAAAUUCUCAGAACUUGAAAAACACCAGAGUGAAGGAGUCAAGAUUCUUCGAAAUUAAUCUUUAGCGUUCGCCGUGAUUUGUUUCUGUUUUGCACUACGUCCCUGAGUCCAGCUCUCCUCCAGUUAAUUUUGUUUUCUUUAUUUUUAUCCACUUGCUAUGACUGUUCUACUACUUGUGCCACCGCGGCGUGUCAGUCCUUUAUGGGAUCCCCGUUUCGUCUCUGCCUUUCACUGUGAUUUUCCAUCAUUAUGGGCCUCUUGAAUAAAAAUGUAGCCCUUGUUUCUGACAAAGUCCAUGUUCCUUUUCUUUUCUUUCUG